AUGCUGCUACUCUGGACUCUUUCAGUGCUGCUGGGAGCAGGCAGGAACAGAAGUCUGUUACCCAAGACUCGGCUGCUUCAGCAAUGAUGCCCCGUGAUCAGGAAUUAUGGAAAGACCUCUCAAAAUAUUGCCCUCGGCUCCAUAAGGUGUCAAUACCUGUUUCCUUUUGUACACCAAUGGGAACCUAAAUGACUUCCGAAGUGUGAACUGUGUCUGUGCGGACUGGAAGAGUGGCUCCCAAGCUGCAUACACACAAGCCUCGCAGAACAUCCAGAUUGUGGAAGCAGAAGUGGCAUAUUUUGUUGAUGUUCUUCAAGUAAGUAUCCUCAGGUUGUACAAAAACCCAUACACAUUGCUCUCUGAAUUUUCUUUCAAAAAAAAAUCCAUAGGUAUGAUUAAUGACAAAGCCAUUUUCAGCAAUUUCUCUUUCCCCUUAUUUGAAAGAAAACUGCAGGCUGGGCGCGGUGGCUCACACCUGUAAUCCCAGCACUUUGGGACGCCAAGACGGGAGGAUCACGAGGUCAGGAGAUCAAGACCGUCCUGGCUAACACAGUGAAACCCCGUCUCUACUAAAUACACAAAAAAUUAGCCGGCGCCGUGGCGGACGCCUGUAGUCCCAGCUACUCAGGAGGCUGAGGCAGGAGAAUGGUGUGAACCCUGGAGGCAGAGCUUGCA
rnacentral:lncRNA from 10 species